GCGAGAGUGCUGGAAUUGGUAGACAGGCACGUUUGAGGGGCGUGUGUCGUUGGCGUGUGGGUUCAAGUCCCAUCUCUCGCA
rnacentral:tRNA from 1 species